AAGGCCAGUCUUGGGAACUUAGCAAGGCUGUCUCAAAGUAAAAAAUGGCUGGGGAUGUAGCUCAGUGGUAAAGCACCCUUAGGUUUAAUUCCCCCUCACCCCCAAAAAGAAAAAAAUCAUCACAACAUAUAACAUAUAAUUCAUGCCACCUGUCUACUGGGAUGAGGAAACCAAGCCCGGGUAGGAGAACUCCAGUAGAGCAGUCUAAGGAGUAGAAAACCUUUUUCAUCCAAGUGACCCCCAAAAUGUGAGUCAUACUUACAAGGAUUGGUUUUUAACAGCUUCACUAAGCUACAGUUAAUAUACCAUAUAAUUCAAUGUUUUUAGUGUAUUCACAUUGUUGUGCAAACCUCACCAUUUUAGAACAUUUGCAUUACCCUAAAUGGAAAUCCCAUACCCUUAGCCAUCACUCCCCACUCUCACGAUUCCUCUCAGCCCAGGCAACUUGUUUGCUUUCAGUCUCCAUAGACUGUCCUGUUCUAGACAUCAUACAUGUAUAUGUAUGUAUAUGUAUGUGCGUGUGUGUGUGUGUUUGGGGGGUGAGGCUGGGCACUGAAGUCAUAACUUUGUGCAUGGUAGGCAAGCACUGUACCUCUGAGCUACAUCUCCAGUCCCUAAGCAUUUCAUAUUAAUGGACUCCUACAAUACUUGGUCUUUGGUGACUGACUUCUUUCACCAAGCAUGUAUUAGAACUUCAUUCCUUUUUAUUUGCUAAAUAACAUUGCACUGUAUGGAUGGGCCACCUUCUGUGGUUCAUCCUCUCAUGUGGGGGAAUCUUGCCCUGAAGGUCAGGCAUGUGUGUUUCAGAGGGAGUCCUGUGCUUCAGUGGUAAAAUACCCCUGCAUUCAAUCCCCAGUACCACACACACCAAAAAAAAGUUAUUUUAUUUUCUAUGCCAGGUACUUCGCAACUAUUAGGAUGAUUCCAUCUCAACCUCCUAGGUGCAGUCACUUGCUAAGUGUAUCAAUUAUUGUGUAACAAAUGACCCCAAUCUUACUGACUCAAAAUAACAAUAGUUUAUCAUUGAUCAGGGUUCUUUGGGUGCACAUGGCUGGAGGGGCAGUGGCCUGGCAGGAAUGAGAUGAUCCCCUCCGUGCCUGGCAGUGGCUGGGUGCCCUGCACAUGGCCUUCCACACAGCUUCCUCCUGUGGCUAUGGCCCAUGUAGAGGAGGGCUUGGGCACUCUCACUGUGGGGAAAUCAUUGAGGACAGUCUAGAUUCAAGGAUGGAUACAAAACCCACUGCAAAGAGCCCUAAAUACUUCAAAAGGAGGAUCUGGGGUCGUUUAAUGGUCUACCACUCCAAGUUCUUUAACAGGGAGAGUGGGAACAGUCCAUCAAAUCCAAACUCUGGUAUGUUGCGGGGCCCAGCCCUUCCCCAAGGGGGAGGUCAACACAGUGCUGGGACUCUUGCUGCCUUGGCGCUUUUCCAUAUCUUUUGAGGUACCUGGAUCUUGGAUGCCUUUUAAAUAGAAUUUUAGUCGAAGGGAUUGCGUAGUCCGAUCUCAGACUCCGGGUGCAGGCCUAUGGGAACCUGGUGGUGGUUUCUUUUGUCACACCCACUUUGACUCGGGAGGCCCAGCUUGCCCAGAGGCUGCGGAGGGGUCCUCCUCUCGGUCCACGUGCUGGGUGGGCAGCAGCCACAUGGCUACAGUGAGUGGGUGGCCUGAGCGGUCGGAAAGGCCUUCUGUGGGUGGGCACGGGAGCCAGUGGCUCGAGGCCCCAGUCAGGGAGGACUCGGGUCUCAGUCGCCACAGCCAUCCCUUCAGUCCCUUCACUCCGGGACUGUGCGGGCCAGGGGAGCCGAGGGGCGGGUUGCCUGCAGAG
rnacentral:lncRNA from 1 species